rnacentral:rRNA from 1 species
AGUGGCGCACGGGUGAGGAACGCGUGGGCAACCUACCCUCGAGACGGGGAUAACAGGGCGAAAGCGCUGCUAAUACCGGAUACGACCCCAAGGGGUGAAAGCCCUGGGCUUUCGGGUCAGGGUGCUCGGGGAUGGGCUCGCGUCCUAUUCAGCUAGUUGGUGGGGUAACGGCCCACCAAGGCGACGACGGGUAGCUGGUCUGAGAGGAUGAUCAGCCACACUGCCACUGGAACACGGGCCAGACUCCUACGGGAGGCAGCAGUGAGGAAUUUUGCGCAAUGGGGGAAGCCCUGACGCAGCAACGCCGCGUGGGUGAUGAAGGCCUUCGGGUCGUAAAGCCCUGUCGGGCGGGAAGAACGUCCCUUUUAGGGAGUGACGGUACCGCCAGAGGAAGCACCGGCUAACUCCGUGCCAGCAGCCGCGGUAAUACGGAGGGUGCAAGCGUUAUUCGGAAUUACUGGGCGUAAAGGGCGUGCAGGCGGGAGAGCAAGUCUGAUGUGAAAGCCCGGGGCUUAACCCCGGAAGGGCAUUGGAAACUGCUUUUCUUGAGUUCUGGAGAGAAAGGGAGAUUUCCCGGUGUAGAGGUGAAAUUCGUAGAGAUCGGGAGGAACGUCAGUGGCGAAGGCGCCAUUCUGGACAGCAACUGACGCUGAGACGCGAAAGCGUGGGGAGCAAACGGGAUUAGAUACCCUGGUAGUCCACGCCGUAAACGAUGAGCACUGGGUGUAGCGGUAAUCAUUCCCUGCUGUGCCGCAGCUAACGCGAAUAA